AUGUCCGGUGCUAUCAAUAUCGACGCGUGCCAUCGUCCACGACAUGUCCCCGGGCCUGGCAAGCCUGGAGCGACACUUCAUCAACUUUGUCUUUGUCCAUCUAUGCAUGUCUGGUGCUGGCAACACCGACGCGAGCCUUCGUUCACGACGUGUCCGGUGUCCCCGGACUUGGCAAACCCAGCGCGACGCCUCAUCAACACCGUCUUCUUCCUGGCUCACCACUACCUCCUCGUCAUUGUGUCCAUGACUAACUCGGCGCCUCUUUGCGCCCGCAGCUCCACGACGACUCGCUCGACACCGGCCACCCCAACUCGACAUCGACCACGGCUACCUCGAGCACGGCUAUACCAACCCACGCUUUCGGCUACCUCAACAACGACACAAAGGGCUAUCAACUCGCUGGGGCAACUCGUCGGCUUCCUCUACAGUCCACGCGUCUGCGACCCGUCGCCGCCCACGAUGCUCCCGCUGCGACUGCGGGGGGAUGUCAGCCCAUUGGCUGCUAUUCUCUCCAGCCUGACCGUCCGCGAUGCUUCUGUUGUUCGCAACGCUACCGCUACGACUGCGGUGGGAUGUUAG
rnacentral:rRNA from 1 species